AGAGUUUGAUCCUGGCUCAGGACGAACGCUGGCGGCGUGCCUAAUACAUGCAAGUAGAACGCUGAAGAGAGGAGCUUGCUCUUCUUGGAUGAGUUGCGAACGGGUGAGUAACGCGUAGGUAACCUGCCUUGUAGCGGGGGAUAACUAUUGGAAACGAUAGCUAAUACCGCAUAACAAUGGGUGACACAUGUCAUUUAUUUGAAAGGGGCAAUUGCUCCACUACAAGAUGGACCUGCGUUGUAUUAGCUAGUAGGUGAGGUAACGGCUCACCUAGGCGACGAUACAUAGCCGACCUGAGAGGGUGAUCGGCCACACUGGGACUGAGACACGGCCCAGACUCCUACGGGAGGCAGCAGUAGGGAAUCUUCGGCAAUGGGGGCAACCCUGACCGAGCAACGCCGCGUGAGUGAAGAAGGUUUUCGGAUCGUAAAGCUCUGUUGUAAGUCAAGAACGAGUGUGAGAGUGGAAAGUUCACACUGUGACGGUAGCUUACCAGAAAGGGACGGCUAACUACGUGCCAGCAGCCGCGGUAAUACGUAGGUCCCGAGCGUUGUCCGGAUUUAUUGGGCGUAAAGCGAGCGCAGGCGGUUUGAUAAGUCUGAAGUUAAAGGCUGUGGCUCAACCAUAGUUCGCUUUGGAAACUGUCAAACUUGAGUGCAGAAGGGGAGAGUGGAAUUCCAUGUGUAGCGGUGAAAUGCGUAGAUAUAUGGAGGAACACCGGUGGCGAAAGCGGCUCUCUGGUCUGUAACUGACGCUGAGGCUCGAAAGCGUGGGGAGCGAACAGGAUUAGAUACCCUGGUAGUCCACGCCGUAAACG
rnacentral:rRNA from 1 species